rnacentral:rRNA from 1 species
GAUGAACGCUGGCGGCGUGCCUAAUACAUGCAAGUCGAGCGAACGGACGAGAAGCUUGCUUCUCUGAUGUUAGCGGCGGACGGGUGAGUAACACGUGGAUAACCUACCUAUAAGACUGGGAUAACUUCGGGAAACCGGAGCUAAUACCGGAUAAUAUUUUGAACCGCAUGGUUCAAAAGUGAAAGACGGUCUUGCUGUCACUUAUAGAUGGAUCCGCGCUGCAUUAGCUAGUUGGUAAGGUAACGGCUUACCAAGGCAACGAUGCACAGCCGACCUGAGAGGGUGAUCGGCCACACUGGAACUGAGACACGGUCCAGACUCCUACGGGAGGCAGCAGUAGGGAAUCUUCCGCAAAGGGCGAAAGCCUGACGGAGCAACGCCGCGUGAGUGAUGAAGGUCUUCGGAUCGUAAAACUCUGUUAUUAGGGAAGAACAUAUGUGUAAGUAACUGUGCACAUCUUGACGGUACCUAAUCAGAAAGCCACGGCUAACUACGUG